AGUGAACGCUGGCGGUAUGCCUAACACAUGCAAGUCGAACGGCAGCACAGUAAGAUCUUGCUCUUACCGUUGGCGAGUGGCGGACGGGUGAGGAAUACAUCGCAAUCUACUUUUUCGUGGGGGAUAACGUAGGGAAACUUACGCUAAUACCUCAUACGACCUACGGGUGAAAGCAGGGGAUCUUCGGACCUUGCGCGAUUGAAUGAGCCGAUGUCGGAUUAGCUAGUUGGCGGGGUAAAGGCCCACCAAGGCGACGAUCCGUAGCUGGUCUGAGAGGAUGAUCAGCCACACUGGAACUGAGACACGGUCCAGACUCCUAUGGGAGGCAGCAGUGGGGAAUAUUGGACAAUGGGCGCAAGCCUGAUCCAGCCAUACCGCGUGGGUGAAGAAGGCCUUCGGGUUGUAAAGCCCUUUUGUUGGGAAAGAAAAGCAGCAGGUUAAUACCCCGCUGUUCUGACGGUACCCAAAGAAUAAGCACCGGCUAACUUCGUG
rnacentral:rRNA from 1 species